rnacentral:rRNA from 1 species
ACGGGAGGCAGCAGUAGGGAAUCUUCCGCAAUGGGCGAAAGCCUGACGGAGCAACGCCGCGUGAGUGAUGAAGGUCUUCGGAUCGUAAAACUCUGUUAUUAGGGAAGAACAUAUGUGUAAGUAACUGUGCACAUCUUGACGGUACCUAAUCAGAAAGCCACGGCUAACUACGUGCCAGCAGCCGCGGUAAUACGUAGGUGGCAAGCGUUAUCCGGAAUUAUUGGGCGUAAAGCGCGCGUAGGCGGUUUUUUAAGUCUGAUGUGAAAGCCCACGGCUCAACCGUGGAGGGUCAUUGGAAACUGGAAAACUUGAGUGCAGAAGAGGAAAGUGGAAUUCCAUGUGUAGCGGUGAAAUGCGCAGAGAUAUGG